rnacentral:rRNA from 1 species
CACGGUAAACGAUGGAUGCCCGCUGUUGGCGAUACACAGUCAGCGGCCAAGCGAAAGCGUUAAGCAUCCCACCUGGGGAGUACGCCGGCAACGGUGAAACUCAAAGGAAUUGACGGGGGCCCGCACAAGCGGAGGAACAUGUGGUUUAAUUCGAUGAUACGCGAGGAACCUUACCCGGGCUUGAACUGCAGCAGAACGAUUCAGAGAUGAUGAGGCCCUUCGGGGCUGCUGUGGAGGUGCUGCAUGGUUGUCGUCAGCUCGUGCCGUGAGGUGUCGGCUUAAGUGCCAUAACGAGUGCAACCCUUUUCCUUAGUUGCCAUCAGGUCGAGCUGGGCACUCUGGGGACACUGCCACCGUAAGGUGUGAGGAAGGUGGGGAUGACGUCAAAUCAGCACGGCCCUUACGUCCGGGGCUACACACGUGUUACAAUGGGGAGUACAGAGCGUCGAGUGCCGGCAACGUCACUCCAAUCAUGAAAGCUCUCCUCAGUUCGGAUUGGGGUCUGCAACCCGACC